UACGUAGGUGGCAAGCGUUGUCCGGAUUUACUGGGUGUAAAGGGCGUGUAGCCGGGAAGGCAAGUCAGAUGUGAAAUCUGGAGGCUCAACCUCCAAAUUGCAUUUGAAACUGUUUUUCUUGAGUACUGGAGAGGCAGACGGGAUUCCUUGUGUAGCGGUGAAAUGCGUAGAUAUAAGGAGGAACACCAGUGGCGAAGGCGGUCUGCUGGACAGCAACUGACGGUGAGGCGCGAAAGCGUGGGGAGCAAACAGG
rnacentral:rRNA from 1 species